rnacentral:rRNA from 1 species
GGGGCUCUUCGGACCUCGCACUAUUGGAUGAGCCUAUGUCGGAUUAGCUGGUUGGUGAGGUAACGGCUCACCAAGGCGACGAUCCGUAGCUGGUCUGAGAGGAUGAUCAGCCACAUCGGGACUGAGACACGGCCCGAACUCCUACGGGAGGCAGCAGUGGGGAAUAUUGGACAAUGGGCGCAAGCCUGAUCCAGCCAUGCCGCGUGUGUGAAGAAGGCUUUCGGGUUGUAAAGCACUUUCAGUGGGGAAGAAGGCUUUGGGGUUAAUAACCCUAAAGAAGGACAUCACCCACAGAAGAAGCACCGGCUAACUCCGUGCCAGCAGCCGCGGUAAUACGGAGGGUGCAAGCGUUAAUCGGAAUUACUGGGCGUAAAGCGCGCGUAGGUGGUCGUUCACGCCGGGUGUGAAAGCCCUGGGCUCAACCUGGGAAUGGCAUCCGGAACGGGGCGACUAGAGUGCAGGAGAGGAAGGUAGAAUUCCCGGUGUAGCGGUGAAAUGCGUAGAGAUCGGGAGGAAUACCGGUGGCGAAGGCGGCCUUCUGGCCUGACACUGACACUGAGGUGCGAAAGCGUGGGUAGCAAACAGGAUUAGAUACCCUGGUAGUCCACGCCGUAAACGAUGUCGACUAGCCGUUGGGAGCCUUGAGUUCUUAGUGGCGCAGUUAACGCGAUAAGUCGACCGCCUGGGGAGUACGGCCGCAAGGUUAAAACUCAAAUGAAUUGACGGGGGCCCGCACAAGCGGUGGAGCAUGUGGUUUAAUUCGAUGCAACGCGAAGAACCUUACCUACCCUUGACAUCCUGCGAACCCGAGAGAGAUCUCGGGGUGCCUUCGGGAACGCAGAGACAGGUGCUGCAUGGCUGUCGUCAGCUCGUGUUGUGAAAUGUUGGGUUAAGUCCCGUAACGAGCGCAACCCCUAUCCUUAUUUGCCAGCGAUUCGGUCGGGAACUCUAAGGAGACUGCCGGUGACAAACCGGAGGAAGGUGGGGACGACGUCAAGUCAUCAUGGCCCUUACGGGUAGGGCUACACACGUGCUACAAUGGCCGGUACAAAGGGCAGCGAAAGCGCGAGCUCAAGCGAAUCCCAGAAAGCCGGCCUCAGUCCGGAUCGGAGUCUGCAACUCGACUCCGUGAAGUCGGAAUCGCUAGUAAUCGUGAAUCAGAAUGUCACGGUGAAUACGUUCCCGGGCCUUGUACACACCGCCCGUCACACCAUGGGAGUGGACUGCACCAGAAGUGGUUAGCCUAACUUCGGAGGGCGAUCACCACGGUGUGGUUCAUGACUGGGGUGAAGUCGUAACAAGGUAGCCGUAGGGGAACCUGCGGCUG